AAUACACAAAAAAAAAGUCAGUACCUUGAUGUUGGACCGCCUAAAUGGCCAGUACAUGCAGUGGGAAGACUUUAAAGUGUGUUAGUACACGCCUGUGUCUUUUGCUAUACUCUGAGAAUCACUGUUAAUGACAAACGGAAUUGAUUACAUAGACCCAGCAAAAUUACAUAUUUAUUUUCUGUAUUAGGCCUACUUAAAGAUAUUACUAUUAUGUUUUCAUUGUCCAUUACACUGCAAACUGAGUUUUUAACUCAUCAACCAAAUAAUAUUAAAUGUUAAAUGCAAUAAUUUUAAUGUCAAUGACUACAUUCUUUAUAUAGGAGUUCAUUAAGUUGUAUACAAUUAAACCUUGAAAAUAAUGAUUUAUCUUUACCUUGUGUGUUUAUAGAUCUGGGUGCAAUUUCUAUACAUUUCUUCAUUGAAUAUGGAGAACACUUCAAUUCUUACCUAGGCAGCAUGAUGUACAGAGUCUGUGAUAGACAUCUACAACCUGUCAACUCACCAGAUUCAUCUGUUCAGUACCAGCCUGCUGUUAUAUCUGGGUUUAGAGUCUCCAGACACAUGGGAGUAAAUGUGAAGAUUAAUGUAUUUACAAAAAUUAGUAUAAUCUAGUAAUUGUAUAACUUUACCCUAGUGUUUAUACUUAUUUGAAAUAAAUUUUAUAUUUUUUGUGUU